UACGGGGGGUGCAAGCGUUGUUCGGAAUUACUGGGCGUAAAGCGCACGCAGGUGGCUAGGUCAGUCGAUUGUGAAAGCCCUGGGCUUAACCUGGGAAUUGCAGUCGAUACUACUUAGCUAGAGUAUGGGAGAGGGCAGUGGAAUUCCCGGUGUAGCGGUGAAAUGCGUAGAUAUCGGGAGGAACAUCAGUGGCGAAGGCGGCUGCCUGGCCCAAUACUGACACUCAGGUGCGACAGCGUGGGGAGCAAACAGG
rnacentral:rRNA from 1 species